GAUGAACGCUGGCGGCGUGCUUAACACAUGCAAGUCGAACGAAGAUGCCGGAGUGCUUGCACUUUGGCAGACUGAGUGGCGGACGGGUGAGUAACGCGUGGGUAACCUGCCUUAUACAGGGGGAUAACAGUUGGAAACGACUGCUAAUACCGCAUAAGCCCACGGCUCGGCAUCGAGCAGAGGGAAAAGGAGCAAUCCGCUUUGAGAUGGCCUCGCGUCCGAUUAGCUAGUUGGUGAGGUAAUGGCCCACCAAGGCAACGAUCGGUAGCCGGACUGAGAGGUUGAACGGCCACAUUGGGACUGAGACACGGCCCAGACUCCUACGGGAGGCAGCAGUGGGGAAUAUUGCACAAUGGGGGAAACCCUGAUGCAGCGACGCCGCGUGGAGGAAGAAGGUCUUCGGAUUGUAAACUCCUGUUGUUGGGGAAGAUAAUGACGGUACCCAACAAGGAAGUGACGGCUAACUACGUG
rnacentral:rRNA from 1 species